AGGGUCAAUCACACUUACACAUCCUCCCUUGGUGACUUUAAAUAGCCCUCCUUACAGCUGAUGGCCAUCAGGGUAAAUCACAAACGAGGCUGGGCAUAUGUUAAUAUCCACAAAACAAUAUUACAAUAUACAAUAUGACUACACACAGUGCUCAAGAACCAAUAACCAAUAAACAUAAUAACAGUGGUAAAGAAAACAAGUAAAAUAAAAUUCCUUCGGACGAUAUCGAACUCGGAUGUGCGCACACGUAGCUGUUGGUAUCCAGCGUCAUCUUAAAUCAGGGAAAUCCCCAUAUAACAGCCAAAAACCAUGCAUGCGCCCAAAGGCAGC